AGAGUUUGAUCAUGGCUCAGAACGUACGCUGGCGGCACGCCUAAUACAUGCAAGUCGAACGAAGUAGCAAUACUUAGUGGCAGACGGGUGAGUAACAUGUGGGUAUCUUCCCUUUGGUGAGGAAUAACACGAGGAAACUUGUGCUAAUACCUCAUAAGUCUUUACGGAGAAAGCUUUAUGCGCCAAUGGAUGAGCCCGCACUUGAUUAGUUUGUUGGUGAGGUAAUGGCUCACCAAGACUUUGAUCAAUAGCUGAUUUGAGAGGAUGAUCAGCCACAUUGGGACUGAGACACGGCCCAAACUCCUACGGGAGGCAGCAGUAGGGAAUCUUGCACAAUGGGGGAAACCCUGAUGCAGCGAUGCCGCGUGAGUGAAGAAGGCCUUUGGGUUGUAAAGCUCUUUCGUCGGGGAAGAAAAUGACUGUACCCGAAUAAGAAGGUCCGGCUAACUUCGUGCCAGCAGCCGCGGUAAUACGAAGGGACCUAGCGUAGUUCGGAAUUACUGGGCUUAAAGAGUUCGUAGGUUGUUAAAAAAGUUGGUGGUGAAAUCCCAGAGCUUAACUCUGGAACUGCCAUCAAAACUUUUUAGCUAGAGUUUGAUAGAGGAAAGCAGAAUUUCUAGUGUAGAGGUGAAAUUCGUAGAUAUUAGAAAGAAUACCAAUUGCGAAGGCAGCUUUCUGGAUCAUUACUGACACUGAGGAACGAAAGCAUGGGUAGCGAAGAGGAUUAGAUACCCUCGUAGUCCAUGCCGUAACGAUGUGUGUUAGACGUUGGAAAUUUAUUUUCAGUGUCGCAGCGAAAGCAAUAAAC
rnacentral:rRNA from 1 species